GAAUAAGCUCACAGGAACACAGUAGAAAGGAGACAGCAGCAGCUGCACAUGGUCUGGUUGGGAGGAUAAAAUGGCGUGCUAUGGAAACACAUUCAUCAUUUUGUCUCCAGCAGUCUGGAAUCUGCUUUAGAGAAAACACUCCCCAAAUGGUUAUUGAAUGAAUGAGUGAUGACCCCCCGCAGUGGGUAAAGCCCUUCCCAUUCUCUGGGCCUCAGGCUUCUCAUCAGUUCACAGAGAUGUUGUCUAAGGGCCCCUGAGUGCUGGCAUUUGGUGACUGAUGUGACAGUAGCAUGUCUGGGUGGGGGGAAGGCCUGCUCACCCCAACGGGGCCUUUGCAUCAGUCCCCAUUGCUGGCUGUGGGGCGAUAUCGCCCAGAGACAACUGCUCCCACAACUGCAUGGGGAUGAACCCCUGCAGCGUCGCCGUGGCGUCCCCAUGGCGUCGCUGUGGCGUGGUUGAGGGAGGCUAGGGGAGCCGGACUUGGGGCUCUGCAGCCAGGGCUCAAAGUCAGACGGGUGUGACUCUAGAAGCAGAGACAGGAAAUGUCUUUCCCCAAAUACCUCUUCUGCUAGUGCCUGAAAUUCCACCAUUUGUGAUUUAUUCCAUUGGGGUCAGCACUGUGUUGUUUUGUUUUGGUUUGGUUUUGGUGAGUCCUCUUUAUAAGUGCUAAAAACUUCAGCAGAGGGAUAGAGAUUUUACACAAAAUUCCAUGCUUGAUUGCCUUUUAUGUGCCAGUGCCUGUAGGGGAGAGGAGACGGUGGGGGCCAGAUCCAAAAGUGAUAAUGAAGACAAUACACUUACCGUUUAUUGAUUACUGUUUAUUGAGCAUUUACUAGGCGAUGCGCUCUGCAUAUAUGGC